rnacentral:rRNA from 1 species
UACAGAGGUCUCGAGCGUUAGGCGGAAUCACUGGGCUUAAAGCGUGUGUAGGCGGGUCGUUAAGUGCCUUGUGAAAUCCCAUGGCUCAACCAUGGAACUGCUGGGCAUACUGGCGAUCUUGUGCCACCUAGGGGCGAGCGGAACAGAUGGUGGAGCGGUGGAAUGCGUAGAUAUCAUCUGGAACGCCAAUGGUGAAAACAGCUCGCUGGGGGUGUGCAGACGCUGAGACACGAAAGCCAGGGGAGCGAACGGG